rnacentral:rRNA from 1 species
GAUGAACGCUGGCGGCGUGCCUAAUACAUGCAAGUCGAACGAAACUUCUUUAUCACCGAGUGCUUGCACUCACCGAUAAAGAGUUGAGUGGCGAACGGGUGAGUAACACGUGGGCAACCUGCCCAAAAGAGGGGGAUAACACUUGGAAACAGGUGCUAAUACCGCAUAACCAUAGUUACCGCAUGGUAACUAUGUAAAAGGUGGCUAUACUACCGCUUUUGGAUGGGCCCGCGGCGCAUUAGCUAGUUGAUAGGGUAAAGGCUUACCAAGGCAAUGAUGCGUAGCCGAAUUGAGAGGUUGAUCGGCCACAUUGGGACUGAGACACGGCCCAAACUCCUACGGGAGGCAGCAGUAGGGAAUCUUCCACAAUGGGCGAAAGCCUGAUGGAGCAACGCCGCGUGGGUGAAGAAGGUCUUCGGAUCGUAAAACCCUGUUGUUAGAGAAGAAAGUGCGUGAGAGUAACUGUUCACGUUUCGACGGUAUCUAACCAGAAAGCCACUGCCAACUACGUG